GGAGGAAGAACGCUGCUUCUCCGGGGAGUUUUCCGCCGCCUCUCCUUCGCGUUUAACGGUUUCCGAGCUCCGGACGCCUCCGCGGGAACGAUCUUCAUCACCUCCUCCUCUUCAUCACCUCCUCCUCUUCAUCACCUCCUCCUCUUCAUCAUCAGACCUUCACUCACACAGGAACCAUCUUGUCCUCGGUGAGGAAGAGGACGAGUCUCACCUGAGGCAGGAUGAAGCUCUGAGGAGGAGGAGGAGGAGGACUGUCAGGGCAGCGGCUCAGGAGCAGGAGGAGGAGCAGGAGCAGGAGGAGGAUGGGGAAGGAGCAGGAGCUGCUGCAGGCGGUGAAGACUGGAGACCUGCAGUCCACCCAGAAGCUGCUGUCCAAGCUGAAGUCCAGCAGGAACAGUAAGUCCUGGUCCAGGUCCUCGGACCUGAUCCAUUUCACAAAGUCUCUGUUGGAGCUGAAGUCCUGUUUCCAGUCUGAGUCUGAAGGUUCAGGUCCUGGUCUGUUCUGGUCCCUCUGUGGUCCUCGUUAGACCCGGUCCAGACCAGGUCCAGACCCGGUCCAGACUUCAGCCUGACGUAAACAAACCCUGAAGGCUGGAAAGUGUUUCAUAUGUAAACAAGACGAGGUGAUAAAAGGUCACAAACAAACAAACAAACAAACAAACAAACAAACAAACAAACAAACAAGCAGAUCAGACUCUGGGACCACAGCAGGUCCUACAACAACCAGAUCAGUCUCCUGUAAUCCAGUUUACUCUCCUGCUGAGAGGUCCCUGAACGCACCGUCCUGUUUCAGCAUUAAUGUUUCCAUCAGAACCAGAACCAGAACCAGAACUGUUCCUGGUGGGUGUAGUCCUGAUGGGGCCUGCUGCAGCUGAAGCCUCUCAGACCUUCAGCUGUUUGCUCGUCUCGGCUGCUAAAUGUUUCAACCAGCCGAACUGUUUUCCCUCUGAGGGGACAAACAAAGACCCUGUUCUGGGACUGAGAACCCCCAGGACCCACCUGGACCCCACUGGACCCCCGGCUGUCAGCAUCUGUCCUGCUGUAGCUUCAGAACGAGGAGAUGCUGGUGUUGUCUUUAAAGGCUGUUUGUUUGUUUGUUUGUUUGUUUGUUUGUUUGUUUGUUUGUUUGUUGGUUUGUUGGUUUGUUGGUGUCUCAGAUCCAUUUCUAGAUAAACAGAACCAUCAGA